rnacentral:rRNA from 1 species
AUGAAGCGACUGUGGAGCUAUCUCCCCUCUUCUCUUAGCAGUUCCAGGAGCGACCCUCCGCAGCAGAUUCCUGAUCCCACCGGUGAUCCUCCAGCCGCUAAAGCCGGGGACACUCCCGCCCUUCUUCAGGAGCCUCCACCGGCUCUUCAAGAUCCUUUGCCGGAGAAUCAUUCUCCCAAUGGCGAGAUUUACGGCAACCAGAUGCUUACCAGCUCCAAGAGCUACCCUUCGCACAAGAUUCAUGAUCCUCCCCGUAAAUUAAUGGCGUCUGUGCGCUCCCGACUGGUGCAACUCUUGCCGCCGCAGCUAGGGAAGGGAAGCGACUGUGGAGCUGUCUUGCCUUCCUUAGCUACAGGAGCAACCCUGGAGCAGCUGAUUUAUGAACCCGGGCAUCCUUCGCAAAGACGGAAGUCUUUGCAAAAAUCGCACAGCCUGUAA